rnacentral:rRNA from 1 species
CCUACGGGUGGCUGCAGUGGGGAAUAUUGGACAAUGGGCGAAAGCCUGAUCCAGCCAUGCCGCGUGUGUGAAGAAGGCCUUCGGGUUGUAAAGCACUUUCAGUGGGGAAGAAAGCCUUGGGGCUAAUACCCUCGAGGAAGGACAUCACCCACAGAAGAAGCACCGGCUAACUCCGUGCCAGCAGCCGCGGUAAUACGGAGGGUGCGAGCGUUAAUCGGAAUUACUGGGCGUAAAGCGCGCGUAGGCGGUCUGAUAAGCCGGUUGUGAAAGCCCCGGGCUCAACCUGGGAACGGCAUCCGGAACUGUCAGGCUAGAGUGCAGGAGAGGAAGGUAGAAGUCCCGGUGUAGCGGUGAAAUGCGUAGAGAUCGGGAGGAAUACCAGUGGCGAAGGCGGCCUUCUGGACUGACACUGACGCUGAGGUGCGAAAGCGUGGGUAGCAAACAGGAUUAGAUACCCUUGUAGUC